rnacentral:rRNA from 1 species
CCUANGGGGGGCUGCAGUCAAGAAUAUUCCCCAAUGGCCGAAAGGCUGAGGGAGCGACGCCGCGUGACUGAUGAAGCCCUUCGGGGUGUAAAGGUCUUUUCUUAGGGACGAACAAAUGACGGUACCUAAGGAAUAAGAGGUUGCUAACUCUGUGCCAGCAGCAGCGGUAAUACAGAGACCUCAAGCGUUAUCCGGAUUUAUUGGGCGUAAAGAGUCUGUAGGUGGUUGGAAAAGUUUUACGUCAAAUCCCGGGGCUUAACCCCUGGACUGCGUAAAAUACUUUCUAGCUAGAGGACGGGAGAGGUAGAUGGAAUUGCCGGUGUAGCGGUAAAAUGCGUUAAUAUCGGCAAGAACACCAAAUGCGAAGGCUUUCUACUGGAACGUACCUGACACUGAGAGACGAAAGCGUGGGUAGCGAAUGGGAUUAGAUACCCGUNUANUC